ACGGCGAACGUCAUCAGUUGCCCCGCCCUUGCCCUCGGCGCCCUCCCAGGUUUCAAAGGCACCAGUUUGGCCUGAGGUAUCUCUACGCGCUCCGCUGUGGGGCGCGAACGCGGCCGGGAGGGCUCCCCGUCCGGUGUCUGUGACUUGGGGUUCUGGAAUCGGGAAGGAAUUGUAGCGGCUGCGCGCUUCUGAUUUCUCAGCUCUCUGCCCCGCCCACUGUCUGCCCAUGCGCCUUUCGUGGGAUAGAAGACGUUUCCGUCAUUGUCAGAGCCUCUGAAAUCAGACCUCUUAGAAUAAAAUCCUAGCUCCACCACUUAAGAUCUGAAUGCUCUCCAGCAAGUUCCUGUACUACUCUGGGUCAAGUUUCCUCAUCUGUAAUAACAGUAUUUACCUCAGAGGAUGAUUGUGAAGAAAAAAUGAGUUAACGUUUGAAAGGGCUUAAAACAAUCCAUCCCCACUUCUCCACCUGCUCUGUGCCCAGAGACCUCUAUGGACUCCACCAACAGGCUCCUGAGCCUUCUGGCUUCCAGCGUGGUCAUCUCCGGCUGGCUGCAUGCCUUGACAACGGUUACAGCUGCUACCAAGUGCGCUCUCUGCAUACAGCUCUCAGUCUCCGGGUUCUUUGGAAGCCUGACGGAGCCCCCACAGUUUCGCCAGCCCUAUCUCUAAUGGUUUCCCUAUACCCUGCCCACACUUUCACAAAUGGUCCCUU